rnacentral:misc_RNA from 1 species
UUGGCAGCCAAGGGUUUUGAAGGUGCUAGAUUUAGCAGAGUCGAAAGCUGUAGAAGAACACCCAACACAGCCACUGCAAGGAACCCAAGCAGCAUCAUUGCUAGUAUCCAUGGCUACGAGCAAGGUCUGGGCUGGGGUUCCAAUCUUGGCCCUAACAAUGUAAGUUGGGCUCUGAAUAAGCUGCCUGCCUGAAGCAAUUGGCACCACAGAUUUCCUAGCCACUAAGCUUGACAAAUAUUGAAGCCUA